rnacentral:rRNA from 2 species
GAUGAAACUUUAACAGAACCCUUCGGGGCGAAGAUAAAGUGGAUUAGCGGCGGACGGGUGAGUAACACGUGAGUAACCUGCCUUAGACAUUGGGAUAGCCUCGGGAAACCGGGAUUAAUACCAAAUAAAAUCAUAAUGACACAUGUCAUAACGAUCAAAACUCCGGUGGUCUAAGAUGGACUCGCGUCCCAUUAGCUAGUUGGUAGAGUAAAAGCCUACCAAGGCGACGAUGGGUAGCCGGCCUGAGAGGGCGAACGGCCACAUUGGAACUGAGAAACGGUCCAAACUCCUACGGGAGGCAGCAGUGGGGAAUAUUGCACAAUGGAGGGAACUCUGAUGCAGCGACGCCGCGUGAACGAAGAAGGCUUUCGAGUCGUAAAGUUCUUUUAUAUGGGAAGAUAAUGACGGUACCAUAAGAAAAAGCCCCGGCUAACUACGUGCCAGCAGCCGCGGUAAUACGUAGGGGGCUAGCGUUGUCCGGAAUCACUGGGCGUAAAGGGUUCGCAGGCGGAAAUGCAAGUCAGAUGUAAAAGGCAGUAGCUUAACUACUGUAAGCAUUUGAAACUGCAUAUCUUGAGAAGAGUAGAGGUAAGUGGAAUUUUUAGUGUAGCGGUGAAAUGCGUAGAUAUUAAAAAGAAUACCGGUGGCGAAGGCGACUUACUGGGCUCAUUCUGACGCUGAGGAACGAAAGCGUGGGUAG